UCAGAUCAGAAGCCCUACCUGGAGAAACAGCACCAACGCCUAACCCAUUCCAUCUCCUCCUCUCCUCUGACCACCGGAGCUCCACCCCGCCGCUGGAGCCACCACGGCGUUGUUCUGAGUCGGCGCCGACGCACCCAACCUCAAGGUUUCAGUAAUUGAUAUAGAAAGACCCACUCUAUUAUAUCAAAACCACAUUGCAAGUGAAAUUUGCACUGGUGUCAUCUCUCUUUUCAAUUCCAAACCUGCAUUUUACAUGGUUUUGAGAAGAAUGUUUUAGUGGUUGAGACAGAAUUUGUUGAAGUUCUAGCAUUCAGGUUCCUUUUCGACAAGUUUUCUUAUUGUGGUUGUUGAAUUCUCCACUGUCAACCUAGGCCUCUGGGACACAGCUUAGUGCAAUUAAAGAUGUAGUUGGAGCUGUUUUAUGUAGAGUUUAUUGAGUUGUGGAGCAGGGUGUUCAUUGAACCUCCACAGUGGCCUUUCAGCAGUGGAUGCUGUCAUGGAGGGUUGUUCGGCCUGCGAGGAACUUAGGUGUGAUGGAACAGGUUGGAUGUUAAAUUAAGGGAAAUGCAGUAUUGUUAAAUUUGCAUGCCCUGAUGAUCUAGUUUGCUUUUCCCAGCAUAUGAUUCUUUAUCAUGUUUUAAUUUGUUGAUUGUGGUUUGUUUGUGAUUGUGCUUGAUUUGAUGGUCAAGGUGUAUGGGUAUUACAAGUGGGAGAUCAGUUUGUUUAGGUCUUAGUUUUCAUGCUACAGAGGAAAAACAUGUCAAACCAAUUUAAUAGUUCAUUUCAUGUUUCUGAGUUUAUGGUUUAUCAACACACUAGUUUUUAGAUUUAGAGUAUAUUGGUUUGUAUCAGUAUAUGUCCUUUCUUGUAAUCAUAACCCAUGUUCUUGUAACAAAAAUCAUCAAAGGCAUCCAAUGAAACUUUCUUCUUAUAAAUUUGCCUCUCCUUUUUGUUUCAUUCUUUUUCUCCUUUAUUUUGAGUGGUGUUGGUAAUGUGCAAUGAAGAUCAAGUCAGAAAGCCUUUAAUGCUACUCCAACGAACCCCUGAGCCUGGCAGUUGUUGUACUGGGCCUUCUUUACUUCUUGAUUCAUGUACACAUAUCUCUUCUUAUCUCCAUAAAUUCUUCUGCAAUCCACUGUUAUAUGCAUCAUACCUUGUCUUCGGGAAAUCUUUCUUUUUCAUAAUUUUGACUCAAUCUUUUUGUCUUAUUACCUUUUAUGCCUUUUAUUAGAGAAAAGCUGAGCAUGUUUUCUGCUCUUCAGUAGCUUAUCAUUUUCUUCAGUUGUAUUGAUUGCAUUUUAGAGUUCAAAAGCUUUUAAUAUGUGAUACUUUAGAGGUCAUGGGUUUUAGAGUUCAGAAAAGCUUUUAAGUAGCUAAAAGUCAUCAAAUCAAAACAAUGCAAAAAAGCCCUAGGUGGGUCCAAUGUUGUUGCACUUGCCUAACUAUUUAGAGGGUGAUAGUAAGUUUUCUCCAACCCCCAUAAUUAAAAGAGGGGAAGACAAAAUGAAUGGUCCAUCACUUUCUCAUGGUGAUUUUCCAUUAAGAAACUAAAAGAAACACAUCAAUGAAAAAUCAAGAUCUUCAUUGUUGAAUUAUGGAGGCUAAGACUGCUAGUCUCUUUCCCACACUUUUAAUGGCUCCACUUAGAAGUUCAUAUAUGUUGCUGUUUUUUGGUUCACUAAGUGGUAUCUAUGGUUUGGUGGGACUAAAAUUGAUUUCAUUACCUUAUAGAAGGCAUUAGGCCCUGUGUUGUCUCUCACCUAACCUUAAAAAGAGAGAUAUGAGUCAUACCUACAACAUACACUGCCUGUAUACAUGGAAAAUUUGGCUUGGCCUAGGUGUAACUUGGAAUUGAAACAAACACUAAGUGGUGACUGAUGAGGGACCACAUUGGAUAUUUUUCUACAUUGGGGACUGGACCCAAAUCCCCAACCAUUAGUAUGAAACCAAAAAAUUACCUCAACUCAGCUAGAUAAAGAGGCUCACUAGUUUGCUUAAAAAAAACAAAGAUUAAAAAGAAAAAGAGGCUCACUAGUUCACAAAUCUUCCAAGAAAAAGAGCAGAAAGUGCUGCAUCAAUCUUACUUUCUAGCUUGUUUAUUUUAAAGACCAAUUGAGAUGCGCAGCUAGUCAACUACAUGGGUUAAUUUCUUUUUUAAUUAGCUUAUUUUUACAUUUGUUUUUCUAUAAAUCAAAGUACCUAUGGGAUAAAUCUUUUCACUAUCAAAAAUUAAUUUUUUCUCCUCCACCGUAUGGUCCAUAAUACUGUCACCAGGAUGGUGGACAACCAUUUGUUCUGUUCUUUGUCAAAAGGCUUGAUGUCCAACACGGUGAUCUAGUUAUGAAGGUUGUGAGGGUUGAGAAGAUCUACUCUUAGGUCAAAUUAGAUCCAAGCCACACAGCUUUGCCAAAGGGGAACUUGAGGAAAAGUUGAUCAAAACUUUCUUCCUCUUGAUUGCAAAAGAGGACUUGUCUUAUAUGGUUUCAGCCAGAGUUUGGUCCUGAGCAGCAGCGAAAGACUUGUCUUUUUAAAAAAAAGUAAUCAUGUAUACAUAUUGUUUAGUUCGUGCAUAGAGUUACAAAAUCUCUUAUAUUCUUAGUUAAUUAGGGUAUCAUGCAUAUGAACCAUCUGAGGUAUGAUUGUUUUUUUUUUUUUUUUUUUAAUAGGAACUUUUAUACUUGUUCUAUAUAGUGUUGAAAUGAUGUAAUUGUCCUUUUUUCGUUGAAUAAAUUCUUAUAAAAAAAAUAUAAUUACUUUGGUGCAAGAUAUAUACAAAUUAGUAGACGUAAAUAUAAAAAGAAAAUGUUUACCAAUAAAAAAUAUAUAAAAAGAAAAUGGCCCUUUUGGAUGUAACCUGCUAUUAUUUGAGAAGUCCUCCCUCCCCUUGCAAGUGAAUUACUUAAUAUUUAAGCUUUGUUGUCUUAUGUAAUUGUUUAAAAUCUUUUCUUGUCCUACUUUGGUUCAGUUCCGGACUACAUUAUUAGUAGAUUUAUUUUCUUUUACUUAAGGUAUUGAGUUUUAACAUUGUUUACAAUUUGCCUGAUCAAUAAAAUUUCUAUUCGAUAUAUGUUUUUAAUGGUUUAUUUUUCACUGGGUAUAUGCAUGGCAUGGGUGAUGGUUUAUGGGCCAGGGCCACUGAUCUCAUUCUCAUGUUUGACCAUUUUGAAGUUUGGAAUGGGGGGAAUGAAAGUGUAUUAUGUGCGCUAAUAUAUACUUUGGAAUCAAGGCAUUAAUAUUUCAGCUAGACCUUUUUUUUUUUUUUUUUUUCCCCUCUAUUUACUGAUGCUAUAUUCUCUCUUUCCCCAUAUUUUUAUGGGUUAAAUUAACCAAGCUUGUGUAAUUUUUUUGUACUUUUUAAAUUUCAUUUUAAGGAAUGUUAUGUUGUUUAUGAAGCAUAUAUAUAUAUAUAUAUAUAUAUAUAUAUAUAAAUAUAUAUAUUUUUUAAAAUAAAAUCAUGUUAUGUGAACAUGAUUAUUGUUGGGUGGUGAAGAAAGUUCUUUUUUGACACUUAACUUCUAGUCUUCUUUCAUCACUCAAGAUCCUAGGGAUUGGGAUCUUUUAGUAAAAAAAUUUGAAGUCAUUUGAUGUCCCUGCGCUAAAGUAUAUGGGGGAUGAAGGUCGUGCACCCUUGCCCUUUCAACUAACUAAGGAGAUGCAUUCGAUUGGUAUCUAUUCUCGGCUUGACCAAGUUUUUAAUGCUCCUAAUGCUGUUAAGGAGGUUUGGACUGGUCAAUUUGGUUUGGAUCGUUCAGUAAGCUCCCUUCGCUUUCUUUUUCAAUUUGUGAUGUAUUUGAUUGCGGGCAGUUAGAGGGGCUGGGCCUCAUGAAGUUGGGGAGUUUGAAAAUGUGGUUUUUGAUUAUGUUUUUUUAUCAGGAGCUUAUCUAUUUUCAACUUUGCUCAGUACGUAGGGUCCAAGGAAACUGAUCAAAAUGCUGUGCUGUGACUUUGUUUGCUGGUAUAUGUCACAGGAAAACCCCAAGGUGAAUUGAACUUUUCAAUGCAGCAGUGGCUGCAAAGGUCUAUUGGGCUGAGCCAUCGGACCAGGAAAAGGAAGAAAAAAAAAAAGAGCGGCUAUGGCUAAAUUAAAAAGGUUAUAGCCGCGUUUUUUUUUCGUGUGUAUGUGUAGUUGUUUGGUAGUCAUGGAACUUUUCACCAAAAGGGGUAUAUCCCCAUUUUGGCCUAGUAUUGUGUGAAUUAUGAUUUGAGUUGACUAUAUAUCAACUAUUUGUUAUACUUUUUUUUUUUUUUUUUUUUUUUGAGAAACAACUCUUUGUUAUACUUGUAUUGUCUAGUUGUUCGUUGUCAUUUUUUAAAAGAGAAACUGAGAUAGUUUAUUUGUAAUAUACAAAAUCAACCCAAUUUUGGAUUCA